CCUACGGGUGGCAGCAGUGGGGAAUAUUGCACAAUGGGGGAAACCCUGAUGCAGCGACGCCGCGGGAGUGAAGAAGUAUUUCGGUAUGUAAAGCUCUAUCAGCAGGGAAGAAAUAGCGACCUUUGGGUCGCCAGACGGUACCUGAUUAAGAAGCCCCGGCUAACUACGUGCCAGCAGCCGCGGUAAUACGUAGGGGGCAAGCGUUAUCCGGAUUUACUGGGUGUAAAGGGAGCGUAGACGGCAGCGCAAGUCUGAAGUGAAAUGCCGGGGCUUAACCCCGGAACUGCUUUCGAAACUGUGCAGCUAGAGUGCAGGAGAGGUAAGUGGAAUUCAUAGUGUAGAGGUACAAAGAGUAGAGAUUAGGAAGAUCACCAGUGGCGAAGGCGGCUUACUGGACUGUAACUGACGUUGAGGCUCGAAAGCGUGGGGAGCAAACAGGGUUAGAUACCCGGGUAGGC
rnacentral:rRNA from 1 species